UUAACCCUCAUUGAACAAUAGCUCCGCUGUCGGCCACGGUUCCACGUCAGUCUGAAAGAUAAUCCUAGGCUCGUCCUUGUGUUUCUUUGGGUACCUUGUUGUGUCACCUCGCUUCGGUCUCUCCCUAGAAGUCGAGUGAUUCACAUUUUGCUGCGCAGCAUUUGUUUUUCGUUCACCUGUUGUCAGAUGGUGCCGACGCCGGCUUAUUGUGCAGACAGUGAAGUCUGUUGAUUAUUUCAAAGCAAAGGAUAGACCAAGAGAGUUUGGUAACAUAUGUAUCACCACCAAGUAGGCAGUCAUUAAACAAUUCAUUGAUAUACCGAUGCUUAGAAGCGAAAUACAAGGAGUGAGAAGAACCACCAUUAUCUGUUUUGCGUGUUCAGUACCCCGAAUAGCCCCAUCAUGGAGUUCCAAAAGACACUCUUGUAGUGCAGACUGUGUAAGAAUAGGAGGAAGCACUAGAUUUGUAUCAUUUUUUAGUUAAGAUGACUGGCUUGCAAUCAUCCAUGAUUUUUCAUAAUUCAAUAGAAACAAUUGGAUUAAAUUGAUAAUAUUUAAUUAGAACUUAUUGUGAAAUGUCCAAGAGCAUAAGUGGAAUAUUAGAUAUGGCAGACAUCAUUAAGAUGUGAUGUUUGCAAUGUUAUUCUGAGAAAUUGAGGUUGUCAACAAUUUAUUGUCGGAGUUGAUGUUGGUGUAUAGACUGACUUAAACUAAUAGAAAUGUGAGAGUUUCAUCAACUUCAUACGUGUUGUUUUUGAAAGCGUAGUUAUGAUGAAGGCCAUAGGAAAAAAGCUUAGCUAGGUUAAAGACAUAAUUUACAUGUUUGAGAUGUCCUUUGAUGUUUAGUUACUUCCGUCAUGACAUACUAAAGAAUUUUAAUAUUUUUUCAUUUGAUCAGGACUAAUCUAUUGCGUGGAACAUGCCCUGGAACAAAAUAUACCUUAUUAUUGCAGGUUUACCUGAGUCAAAUGAAUAUAUAUUUGUUGAGGCUAAUGGUGGUUAAAUCAGAAGAGUACAUCGGUAUAUUUUCGUGGAUAACAAUGUUUAUAUAUCAUGUUAAAAUUUUGAUUUUUUAUGUUUUGGGAGUUAUGGAAAUGCAGUAUCUCACUGAUUUUGAUGUUUGUAGAUAUGCAAUGUUGUAGCUGUGGCAGGCUACCUCAAUGUUGUAGCUUACUUUCUCUAUAAAAUAAAAAUAUAUGUUGUUUAUCCAUUCUCCAUUUUCUUCCGUUGAUUGACAUGAUGACUGAUAGUUAUUUCGAUCCAUUCUAUUUUCUACCUAUGUAGUGAUGCUUCUAUAGUAUGCUUUUAUGGUGCAAUAGGUACCAAUAAUUAACCACUAAAUUAUUUGUGAUGUUGCAUUUAGUUUAGCUAACUACCUUCCUUGAGUUCAAGGUGGUGAAUUGUAAUGUUUCAUUUCAAUGAUAUGUAAGUAUAAUGUAUGAGUUGAGUUAUAAAUAAAUAUUUUUAAUCUACUAUUCAUCCAUAUUGUUUAGAGAUAUCAUAUUUCAUCAUAACUACCUCUGGUUUUAUGUUUUUAUAUAGGUGAUACCCUAGCCAUUGUCAAGAGAUUUUUUACCGCUGUUACGGUCCCAGAGACCGCACUUAUUCUCCUAAGUAAUGCCGGAGCAAAGAUCCUCGAUGACGUGCUCGGCGGAGAUAAUAUCAAGUGCACUUACAAGGAUGUACACAUUUUUUAAAAAUGUUUAUUCUUUUGGGAAUUAAAUUACUUUAGUUUCUGAUAUAAUUCUUAUAUAUCAUUGGAAACACAUUGCAGUUGGUUCGCUGCCUCUGAUUGCUUCCUUUGUGAUUUUGUACUCAAUGAGCUUGGUCGUUCAUAACUGUAUUUGUUAGUCGACCUUAGGAUAGUACUUCAGUUUGAUACCAUAUCUAU